UACGGGAGGCAGCAGUGGGGAAUAUUGCACAAUGGGCGCAAGCCUGAUGCAGCCAUGCCGCGUGUAUGAAGAAGGCCUUCGGGUUGUAAAGUACUUUCAGUCGUGAGGAAGGUGUUAAGGUUAAUAACCUUAGCAAUUGACGUUAGCGACAAAAGAAGCACCGGCUAACUCCGUGCCAGCAGCCGCGGUAAUACGGAGGGUGCGAGCGUUAAUCGGAAUUACUGGGCGUAAAGGGCACGCAGGCGGUUAAUUAAGUUGGAUGUGAAAUCCCCGGGCUUAACCUGGGAAUGGCAUUCAAGACUGGUUAGCUAGAGUCUUGUAGAGGGGGUAGAAUUCCAUGUGUAGCGGUGAAAUGCGUAGAGAUGUGGAGGAAUACCGGUGGCGAAGGCGGCCCCUGGACAAAGACUGACGCUCAUGUGCGAAAGCGUGGGGAGCAAACAGGGAUUAGAUACC
rnacentral:rRNA from 1 species